rnacentral:rRNA from 1 species
UACGAAGGGGGCUAGCGUUGCUCGGAAUCACUGGGCGUAAAGGGCGCGUAGGCGGACUUUUAAGUCGGAGGUGAAAGCCCAGGGCUCAACCCUGGAAUUGCCUUCGAUACUGGGAGUCUUGAGUUCGGAAGAGGUUGGUGGAACUGCGAGUGUAGAGGUGAAAUUCGUAGAUAUUCGCAAGAACACCGGUGGCGAAGGCGGCUUACUGGUCCGGUUCUGACGCUGAGGCGCGAAAGCGUGGGGAGCAAACAGG